UGACCUUUCUCCUUUGCUUCCCUUGCAGACAGACAGGCCGGAGCUGAGGCAGGCACUGCCCCGCAGCAGUGCCACCAGUGAACGGAGAGAGCCUCUACCAGCCUUGCUGCCUCUGCCAAGGCAGGCAGCGACACUGACAGCCACACCCCGGCAUUCAGUGGGAGCUGCAAAUGUGCCCCGGCUGCCCGCUCUGCCAGCAGUAGGCUCCACCACUUCUGCGCCAUGCAGAGACCGCAUCGCGAGCACCAAGGCUGUCAGACUCCCCGAGGUCGUCCCACGUCCUCAAGGAAACCCGAGUAAACAGCAAAUGGCAGCAACUGCUGAGAGCUGGGGGACAGCCCUGCAAGUCCCCGCAUCCAUUCUGACGCCUCUGCAGGCCAGACCUGAGCAACACAACAGGCUACCCCCGAGCCAUGCUGCAGCCAAGAGCCCAAGACUCAGGGUGCAGCAGGGGGUACUAAGGCACCAUGCCCCUCCCAGCAGUCUGGCAACACCAGCAAGGACAGCCCAAGUGCCGGCAACCAAGACUGAAAAGACACCGGCAGCACAGACAGAAACAGAUGACCACGCUCAAGAGGGCACAAGAGCUGCUGGUGGGACCUCCAAGCCAUGUUCCCUGGCAGCAGCACCGGGCCCAGCAGCGCAGGCAGACGGCAUUGCCUGCCACCCUCAGGGCGAGACCCCACACCCUGGGGAUGUGGCACAGUAUCUGGCAGUCCUGGACAGUGAGCCAGAGCCUCUGGAAGAGCUGGAGAGCACCGCUGCAGGACCAUCAAGGGAGGAACAGAGGGACUUGAUGCAGAGGGAGGAGCAAAGAGAUGCUGCUACCAAGGACCCGUCAGGAGGGAGGCAGCAGAAGGAACCCACCUCAAACCUUCACCAGGACCCAGACGCAGCCCACCAGCAGGGGCCUGGCUCACCCCAUAACACUGGCGGAGAUUCUGCAGGAGAGGCAGUCAGCCACGCACAGAGUGCAUCUCUUGCCCUGUCAGGGACAACCAAUGCUGAGCCAGCAGCUUCUGCGCAGGCCACAGGUCCUGCCAGUGAGGGGGACAAGGAGCCUCUGGGUGCAUCAGCACCCAGAGAUGCUAAUUCGCCUUCUCCCCUGCCUGCCGCUAUGCCUGACCCUUCCACAAACACCCAGGGAAGACCGUCGACAUUGCAAGACCGGGUCAAGAUCAACUGGGAUGUCUAUGGGCGCUCUUCCUUUCUGCCAGCAAUGCGGACCAUUCCUAGCGGGGAGAGGGAAGGCCGCCGGUUGUCCUGGUGGAACGUGUCCUGGCCGAGCAGCGUGAGGGUUCCAAGACUGCGAGGGAUCUGGGCAGCACGUGAUGGUGACACAGCUGCCGGCACUGCACCCAGCGCAUCGGGCAGCCAGGAGAUGGCAGGGAGGACCGCGGGCCAGCGCCUUCCCUACCUUUGCCCCUCAACGAGUAAGACCACUCUGCAGGAUGUUCAGGAAGAGUGGGAAGAGAGCCCCAAGAGAAAAGCUGUGGCACAAGCAGACGACGUCCCACCCAGCAUGUCUCCUGCCCCAUCUGGUGAGGCCGAUGCCGGGCCUUCAGCUGCUCCUAUGGCUGCAGUUCCCGGGCCCGAGGAGCUCACCCCUGUCUGCAUGCCCGAAGACGGAAAAUCUUCAGCCCCUCCCCUGGCUGUGGACCCUGUGGAGGAGGCCAGCACAGCACCUCUCACCCCAUCGGCAUGUGAGGAAGAAGAAGCAGCACCUUCUCCCCUGGUUGGGAGCCUUCUGCAAGAGGUUUCCUCCGAGCCCAGAGGCAGUGCACAGCGCUCCUCGCACUUCCAAGCAGUGCCAGAGGAAGGCCCAGGCACCGCUGCCCUCCCGCACGCUGCAGCUCGCCGGCGAUGGCCCAACUUCUUCAGGACAGCGCUUCGGGCUCUGCGCAGGGCUUUCUCCUGCAGCUGCAUCACAGGAGACCGAGAGCAGCAGCAUGAGGCUGCCAGAACCAGGCAGCUCCUUAGAGAUGGCAGCUUCGGUCCCGAGGACGGGGCUUCUGAAUAAAAUCGUUCAGAACUCUUUCCUAGCUGAGGGCUGUGUCUUCUGUUCUGUUCUGUUCUGUUCUGUGUGCAUGGGUGUCUACAGGCUGCGAGUGCUGCUGCUGGGGUCAGACCCCGGGGCAGUGGGUCCCCAUUUCUGUGGUGCCAAUGCCUAGAGGGAUCGUGGGUGUACAAGGCAGUGUGAUAGCUGGCAAAGGUCAAGCCAGAUGAGCCAGUGAGUGUGGGAGGUGGAGGGCCGAGUGGCUCUGGGAGGGCCCUGGGUGUGCAAGUGCCCAUGUGUCUCCAGGGCUGAGACCACGCUGGGGUCACUGUGUUAGGGAUAAAAGGCUUAAAUUGGUCUGAUGUGAAAUAGCCAUUGUUUUAAGACUAGCAAGGGGAAACUCUGACCUUGCAAUGGUACAUAAUGCUUGCUCUGUGAUACGGCUGUCUCUUCUGUUCUGUUCUGUGUGCACGGGCGUCUAUGGGCUGCGUGUGCUGCUGUUGGGGUCAGACCCCGGGGCAGGGUGUCCCCAUCUCCGUGCUUCCAGUGCCUAGAGGGUGCACAUGUUUGCGAGGCUGUGCUACCAGUGAAGGGAGGAAGCCUCUGCCAGCCUUGCUGCCUCUCCCAAGGCAGGCAGCGACACUGACAGCCGCACCUUGGCAUUCAGUGGGAGCUGCAAAUGUCCCCCAGCUGCCACUCUGCCAGCAGUAGGCUCCACCUUUUCUGCGCCAUUCAGAGAAAACACCAUGAGCACCAUGCCCUUCAGACUCUCCGAUGUUAUCCUACAUCCUCAGCGAAACCUGGGUAACUUGCAAAUGGCAGCAAGUUCUGAGAGCUGGGGGACAGCCCUGCAAGUCAUCUCCUGACACUAGCCUUUUACAUAUUUAUAGACAUUAAUAAGGUCACCGCUCAGUCUCCUCUAAGCUAAUGAGACCCAGCUCCCUCAGCCUUUCUUCGUAAGGGAAAUGCUCUACUCCCUUAAUCAUCUUUGUUGCUCUGUGCUGAACUUUCUCAAGCAGAUUCCCUUCCUUCUUGAACUGAGGGGUCCAGAACUUGAUGCAAUAUUCCAGAUGCGGUCAGGGCAGAGCAGAGGGGGAGGAAAACCUCUCUCAACCUACUAACCAUGCCUCUUCUAAUACACCCCAGGAUGCCACUAGGCUUCUUGGCCACAAGGGUAUGGUGCUGGCUCAUGAUCAUCCCGCUGUCCACCAGGACCCCCAGGUCUCUUUCCCCUACGCUGCUCUCCAGCUGGUCAGUCCCCAACUUAUACUAGUGUCUGGAGUUGUUCUUGCCCAGAUGCAGGACUCUACACUUGCCCUCAUUAUAUUUCAUUAAAUUUCUUCCCACCCAAUUCUACCUGUCUAGGUCCAACUGAAUGGCAGCACAGUCUUCUGGUGUGUCAGCCACUACUCCCAGUUCAGUGUCAUCAGCAAACUUGCUGGCAGUGCACUCCAUUCCCUCAUCCAAGUCAUUGAUGAAUAUAUUGAACAAUACUGGUCCCAGCACCAACCCUUAAGGGGCCCCACGAAUUCCCGCUGAAUCCAGCUCGAUUCCGUCCCAUUGACCACAACUCUCUGCCUUCUUCCCUUCAGCCAGUUCAAAGUCCACCUCACUACCCAAUCAUCCAAACCACACUUCCUCAGUUUAUCUACGAGGAUGCUGUGGGAGGUGGUGUCAAAGGCUUUACUGAAAUCAAGAUAGACCACGUCCACAGCUUUUCCAUCAUCUAUCUACCUGGUUAUGUGCUAAAUAACUUAUUUCACUCCUUUUCUGCCCAUUGUGGUAAAAAUAAAUAAUUAAAUAAUAAUUAAAAAAAAAAAUGC
ensembl:lncRNA